rnacentral:misc_RNA from 1 species
UAUGAAGAACGCAGCGAAAUGCGAUAAGUAGUGUGAAUUGCAGAAUUCAGUGAAUCAUCGAAUCUUUGAACGCACAUUGCGCCCCUUGGUAUUCCAUGGGGCAUGCCUGUUCGAGCGUCAUUUGUACCUUCAAGCUCUGCUUGGUGUUGGGUGUUUGUCUCGCCUCUGCGUGUAGACUCGCCUCAAAACAAUUGGCAGCCGGCGUAUUGAUUUCGGAGCGCAGUACAUCUCGCGCUUUGCACUCAUAACGACGACGUCCAAAAGUACAUUUUUACACUCUUGACCUCGGAUCAGGUAGGGAUACCCGCUGAACUUAAGCAUAUCAAUAAGCGGAGGA